CCCCGUAGCCGAAAUUGAGAGUGGCCCUAGGAGUAUCCAGAGUAGCACCGGACACGUGAAACCUGGUGUGAAUAUGUGCAGACCACUGCAUAAGGCUAAAUACAAGAUGUCGACCGAUAGUGAACAAGUACCGCGAGGGAAAGGUGAAAAGAACCCCUGUUAGGGGAGUUAAAAGUACCUGAAACCUGUUGCCUACAAGCGGUCAGAGCUCUGAAUAGAGUGAUGGCGUACCUUUUGCAUAAUGGGCCUAGGAGUCUAUUUCAGUUGCGAGCUUAAGCGUUUACGACGCGGAGGCGAAGCGAAAGCGAGUUUUAAUAGGGCGAAAGUAUCUGGAAUAGCACCCGAAGCGGAGGCGAUCUACCCAUGGCCAGGUUGAAGCAUCAGUAACAUGAUGUGGAGGACCGAACCCAUUAACCUUGAGAAGUUAAGGGAUGAGCUGUGGGUUGGAGUGAAAGGCUAAUCAAGCCCCGUAAUAGCUGGUUCUCUCCGAAAUAUAUUUAGGUAUAGCGUCAAAUGCUGAUUACCGGGGGUAAAGCACUGAAAAGGCUAGGGUUCACACCAGAAUACCGAACCUUAUCAAACUCUGAAUACCGGUGAGAGAAAUUUGGCAGUCAGUCUGUGGGGGAUAAGCUUCAUAGGCGAAAGGGAAACAGCCCAGACCAUCGAAUAAGGUCCCAAAGCUGAUACUAAGUGGUAAGAAGGAGGUAAAUUUUCUUAGACAAUGGGGAUGUUGGCUUAGAGGCAGCCAUCAUUUAAAAAGUGCGUAAUAGCUUACCCAUCGAGAGAGUUUGCGCCGAAAAUGAUCGGGACUGAAGUAUCACACCGAAUUUGUGGAUUAGAAAUAAUGGUAGGAGAGCGUUCCAACGACAUAGAAGGGUGAGCGGAAGCGAAUCUGGAGUUUUUGGAAGUGAGAAUCUAGGCAUGAGUAACGAUAAGUAUGGUUAAAAUCCAUACCGCCGUAAGGAUAAGGUUUCCUGGGGAAGGUUCGUCCGCCCAGGGUUAGUCGGGAGCUAAGGCGAGGCCGUAAGGAGUAGUCGAUGCACAAUAGGUUAAUAAUCCUAUACUAUAUUAGAGGUGUUUGAAUCGUAUAUUGACGAACGAGUGAAUGUCAUCCGGGUGAUGAACGUCCCGGUCUAAGGCAAUGGAAGUUGCCGGGGACCUUGAAGCUACGGCCGAGAGGGAUUGACAGUGGCUAGUUCCGGGAAAAUUUAUACGGCUAAUUUCUAAUAUACCCGUACCGCAAACCGACACAGGUAUCCGGGAUGAGUAUUCUAAGGCGCGUGAGUUAAAUCUCCCCAAGGAACUCGGCAAAAUGGCCCCGUAUCUUCGGUAGAAGGGGUACCAAUAAAAUGGUCUCAGUAAAGAGGCCCAACCGACUGUUUAUCAAAAACACAGCUCUCUGCCAAGUCGCAAGACGACGUAUAGGGAGUGACACGUGACCAAUGCGGAAAGGUGAAAGCUGGUUGUGCAAGCUUCUGGUCUAAGCCCCCGUGAAUGUCGGCCGUAACUAUAACGGUCCUAAGGUAGCGAAAUUCCUUGUCGGGUAAGUUCCGACCUGCACGAAUCGUGUAACGAGUUGGGUGCUGUCUCAGGGAGAAGCUCAGUGAAAUUGUAGUCGCGGUUAAGAUGCCGCGUACCCGCAGAAGGACGGAAAGACCCUAUGAACCUUUACUAUAAUCUGAUAUUGUCGUUUGAUUUUUAAUACGUAGAAUAGCUGGGAGGCUAAGAAAUUGCACUUCAGGGUGUGAAAGAGCCGCAAUGUGAAAUACCAGUUUUUAACUGUUAGACGUCUAACCCUACGCCAUAAGCUGGCUGGGGGACAGUGUUAGAGGGUUAGUUU
rnacentral:rRNA from 1 species